CGAGAAUAAAAUACCGAAACUUUAUUAUUAAUUAUUUUACAGGUUGCAACGAAGAAACCAUAUUGGCCUGCAUUUGGAAUAUGCGGAAUAGUGUCGUGGCUUAUCAGUGGUUGCAACCGACGUCUGGUUAUUAUGUUCACGUUACCAUGGCCUGCAUUUCUAAACUAUAUAGAAUACACAAAUAAACUUUCUGUUGGCAUAUCCGACGUCGGUAUCACUGAACAUGAUAGCAAAUGGCAUAAAGCAAUGAAAAAACUAUAUAACACGUACCCCGGACUUAAUUUCAAAACUGAAGAAUAUAUCAAUUCCACAAGACCGGUGAAAGUCGCAGAUGAAACAUUCCAAGUGAGUGGAAUCAUGGGAACAGGUCAUCAAAUCGAGGCUAAAGUAGUGUUUAAACCAAAUCACGUGGAUAAUUUGGCACAGAAUCUAAAACAAACUGUUUUAAUGAGUCAAAGUUAUAAAUGAGAUUGAUAUGACUCUUUAUAGUAUGUGAUGCAUUAAUUUUUCACUGCAUGUUUUCUACAUUCUGAACAUGGUCUUGAAAAGUAUGUUAACAUAAUUAAAGUUUCUGAAGCAUUUAAUUACUUGUCAAUUGAAACAGUACAGUGUAAAAAUAACAGUAUUGGAAAUUGUACACAUUUUAUACUUGUUGUUAUUUAAGCAUUGAAUGCUGUUCCGCGCUUCAUAUUAAAAAUGUGCGCACGCUUAACGCUUUUACAACCCUAUGAAGUUACGAAAUGAAGCAUUCAAUAAUUACCUUUUUUAAGCAAUGAUCAUAAAACACGAAUUUUAUUAUUGUUUUAUUUAAUUCACCUGUGUACUUUAUUGUGGGACCACGUGUUAUCAUGAAUGAAAAGUUUUAUUGAGCAAUGCAAUUGCUUACGGAAUAACACGUGAUGUGCAGUUAGCCAAUCAAAAUAAAGUAUCAUAAUGAAACAUACAUCUAAUGUAAUUAUACUUUAAUACAA
rnacentral:lncRNA from 1 species